CAUAAUAAGAUAUAAAUAAAAGCAUGCUUACUCGUAAAAUCCGGCAAAACUUAGAAAAAGUACGACCAGCUGCUGAAAACAAUAGAUCAGACUAUAGA